rnacentral:misc_RNA from 1 species
UCCGGUUUUUCACCGGCAGUCUCUUUAGAGAGCCCAACUGAAUGCUGGCAACUAAAGACAAGGGUUGCGCUCGUUGCGGGACUUAACCCAACAUGUCACCACACGAGCUGACGAUAGCCAUGCAGCACCUGUCACUCUGUCGUAUUGCUACGAAGACCGUAUCUCUACGGCUGUCAGAGGAUGUCAAACCCAGGUAAGGUUCUUCGCGUUGCUUCGAAUUAAACCACAUGAUCCACCGCUUGUGCGGGCCCCCGUCAAUUCCUUUGAGUUUUAGUCUUGCGACCGUACUUCCCAGGCGGGGAACUUAUCGCGUUAGCUCCGGUUCUGCAGGGGUCAAGACCCGCAAAACCUAGUUCCCAUCGUUUACAGCGUGGACUAC